UGGCAGAGUGGAGAAGCAGCUAUCUCGCCAGCCUCAUAAGCUGGAAAUCGCUGGUGCAAUUCCAGCCUCUGCACCCA
rnacentral:tRNA from 1 species